GACGAACGCUGGCGGCGUGCUUAACACAUGCAAGUCGAACGGAAAGGUCCUGCUUUUGUGGGGUGCUCGAGUGGCGAACGGGUGAGUAACACGUGAGUAACCUGCCCUUGACUUUGGGAUAACUUCAGGAAACUGGGGCUAAUACCGGAUAGGAGCUCCUGCUGCAUGGUGGGGGUUGGAAAGUUUCGGCGGUUGGGGAUGGACUCGCGGCUUAUCAGCUUGUUGGUGGGGUAGUGGCUUACCAAGGCUUUGACGGGUAGCCGGCCUGAGAGGGUGACCGGCCACAUUGGGACUGAGAUGCGGCCCAGACUCCUACGGGAGGCAGCAGUGGGGAAUAUUGCACAAUGGGCGGAAGCCUGAUGCAGCAACGCCGCGUGCGGGAUGACGGCCUUCGGGUUGUAAACCGCUUUCGCCUGUGACGAAGCGUGAGUGACGGUAAUGGGUAAAGAAGCACCGGCUAACUACGUG
rnacentral:rRNA from 1 species